rnacentral:rRNA from 1 species
AUUGAACGCUGGCGGCAGGCCUAACACAUGCAAGUCGAACGGUAACAGGAAGAAGCUUGCUUCUUUGCUGACGAGUGGCGGACGGGUGAGUAAUGUCUGGGAAACUGCCUGAUGGAGGGGGAUAACUACUGGAAACGGUAGCUAAUACCGCAUAACGUCGCAAGACCAAAGAGGGGGACCUUCGGGCCUCUUGCCAUCGGAUGUGCCCAGAUGGGAUUAGCUAGUAGGUGGGGUAACGGCUCACCUAGGCGACGAUCCCUAGCUGGUCUGAGAGGAUGACCAGCCACACUGGAACUGAGACACGGUCCAGACUCCUACGGGAGGCAGCAGUGGGGAAUAUUGCACAAUGGGCGCAAGCCUAAUGCAGCCAUGCCGCGUGUAUGAAGAAGGCCUUCGGGUUGUAAAGUACUUUCAGCGGGGAGGAAGGGAGUAAAGUUAAUACCUUUGCUCAUUGACGUUACCCGCAGAAGAAGCACCGGCUAACUCCGUG